GACGAACGCUGGCGGCGUGCUUAACACAUGCAAGUCGAGCGGUAAGGCCCUUUCGGGGGUACGACGAGCGGCGAACGGGUGAGUAACACGUGGGUGACCUGCCCUCCAGCUCUGGGAGUAAGCCUGGGAAACCGGGUCUAAUACUGGAUAUGACUCCAUGACGCAUGUUGUGGGGUGGAAAGCCUUGUGCGGCUGAGGAUGGGCCCGCGGCCUAUCAGCUUGUUGGUGGGGUGAUGGCCUACCAAGGCGACGACGGGUAGCCGGCCUGAGAGGGCGACCGGCCACACUGGGACUGAGACACGGCCCAGACUCCUACGGGAGGGCAGCAGUGGGGAA
rnacentral:rRNA from 1 species